rnacentral:rRNA from 1 species
AGAGUUUGAUCCUGGCUCAGAAUCAACGCUGGCGGCGCGCUUAACACAUGCAAGUCGCACGAGAAAGAGGAGCAAUCCUUAAGUAAAGUGGCGUACGGGUGAGUAACACGUGGAUUAUCUACCUUUUAGUGGGGAAUACCCUUGGGAAACCGGGGACAAUACCGCAUAAGCCCGCGAGGGGAAAGCAGCAAUGCGCUGAA